rnacentral:tRNA from 1 species
AAUCUUAUAGUUUAUAUAAAAUAUUAAAUUGCAAGUUUAAUGAAAAAUUUAAAAAUUUUAAGGUUU